rnacentral:lncRNA from 1 species
AUAAAAAUCAUCAUCCUAUAUUAUCAACAAAUUCCAUAAACCUAUCUACAAAUUCCAUAAACCUAUCUACACUAACCGCCUAAACUGAUUACCCUAAACUAACCACCUAAGCUAUAAAUUAGAGAGGAAGUAGAGAGGAGAGUACCUUGCUUGGAGGAGGAGAGGAAGUGACUACGAAAUGGGAAGUGAUUUGGUUCGGGUAUAUAUAAACAUAUAUAUUGUCGUAA